CCACUACCACUACCACAUAAUAACAUCACAUAACAUAAACAUACUAUCUAGCAUAAUUGGGUACUAUGCUACUGUAACGCCUGUGUUUCGGGCUUGCCAUUUGUAGCAAUGUAAUAGUCUAGGUUAACCUCUGUAACCCGUUUUGAAAUAAUAAGAUUGUAUUAUUUGAGUAUUGUGUGUUUUGUGCUUAAUUGCUUAAUUAUGUGGUUUGAUUAAUUAAGAAUAAAAAUAAGCGUCAAAAUUUAAGUGUAAAAUAAACUUAAUAUAUUUGGUUACUGUUGUAGUAGUUGAAACGAGGUUUCCGAAUAUAUAUAGAACGCCCAAAUCUGACUUCGUAUGAGGAAGUUAUGAUUUAUCGAAGUUCCGGCUUAGCAGUAUACAGCCUGUUUUACUCGAUUUGAGAUCGAGCGGUUGUUAGCCGAAGCAAUCUAAACGAGGAUCGAAGGUCUCGUUGUUGGUAGCAAAGCGAUAAAAAGUUAGGCGAGAACGGACGUCAAACGAAGAAGUUAUGAAUUUAUAACGAAAGUUUCUGUCCCGGCCUAUUAAAAAUAAAUAAUAAAAAUAAAGUCAAAAUUAGCCGACGGAGUCUAAACGAAAGUUGUAGAGCGUAGUCUCACCUUCGCGUGGAUAUAAAGAACGUCGAAAACGGAGUUCGUAUGAAGAAGUUAUGAAUUUCCGAAGUUUAUUAAUCAUUUUGUAUUUAUUUUUAAUUCAAAAUUCGGAAGCAUUAUCCGAAGGAGUCACCGAUCUGAUCCGAGGUACGCCCCGCGUACUCGAGUACGCCCCGCGUACUCCGAGGGAUGUCGACACUCGCACUCGAGCACUUCGGAUACGUAAGCAAUGACGUUUUGGGCAGUACGCCCCGCGUAACGCAGUACGCCCCGCGUACUCCGAGGCUCCAGCCUCCUAUAAAUAGGAUGCGAGGGUUCCGGGUAUUUUUGCCAAUUCCCUCUCGUUUUCGUGUCGAAGCUCUGUGCAAAAACCCCCGAAGCUACCCCGAAGUCCCGGUAUCAUACUCUAGCCCCGAGGCAAGUCCCGAGAUCCCGAAGAUCCCGAAAAGUGCGGUUCCCGAGUCGAAGCUCUGCCCGCGAGAAGUUCGAUUUUCGAGGAGAUCUUCCAGAUCUGCUGUGGAUUACUACUUCUAUAAGCCGUAGUGCUGUCCGAUCAUCUUCUGAUCAAGUGAGUGUGUAGUUAUUUCUUCUAAUACAAUAAUACGAAGUAUUUUAUAUAAAAAUACGUGCUAUGUGUAUAUAUUUGGUUGUGUUAUGUGUGAAUGAGUAUUCACUCUCUUCUAUCUUAUAGAUCUGCUUAUUUCUUUAUGAGAUAUGUGUUAUGUGUGUGUGUGCCUCAUCUGUUAUGUGAUAUAUGUGUUGAUUAAAGCAUGCUAUACAGGUUUUCUUUAAACUAUGUAUACAAAUGUAUAUUUUUAUCUACUAAUAUGUUGGGUAGAACAUGGGUAGACAGUUGGUGUGUAAUAAACAGAUGAGAGGCCUCGUUGUUGUUUGAUUGAGUCAUCUAGCGGAGUUUAGAUGACGACCACUGGCUAUUCUAGACAGUCUUGUGGAAACAUUAGCAGGUUCGCCACCUGUAGGUGUUAAUGAACUUGGGUGUUCAUUCGCUGUACUCCAUCCCCCUCAUGGUUGCCUUAUUUGACUUAUAUUGCUGAGGUACCCCCGAAGCAUGUGUUGUCGCCCCGAUGAAAUAUUCUUAGACUAGGUCCCUUAUGUUAGUUGUUUUAGGGACAUUAAAGUGAGAAUAACGGGAAUGGGUAAUUGGGUUAUUGUUGGUUGGUGAAAAUUAAAUAUGAUAUUUAUUGUGGGUUGAAAACCCUAUAUGCUCACCAGGCUCCCAAGCCUGACCCACUCAGUUUUAAAUUGUAUUACAGGUAGUGGCGGAAGGGCAUGAGAUGGAUGAACCAUCAAGUUGUUUUGUUUACAAGUCUGCAUAUGUUUAUAUUUGUUAUAUGACUUGUAAUGUAUUCGUUUAUGCUUAUUGGUCUGUAUCGGAACAUGACACCCCGAGUUUUGAUUAUAAUGAAAAUACAUUUCUUUUAUGAAAUGCUUCGGUAAACAAUGUUUUAUCAUGUUUUGUUUUUGGGAACAAAUUCCGCAACUCUUUCAAAUCAAAAGGAUUUACUCUGAAAAUAUUUAAAAGCAUAAAUGAAAAUCGGUCUUUUCUGGCCGAGAUUUUGGGGAUGUCACAGUUGGUAUCAGAGCAUUAGUUUAAGCGAACUAGGAAUUUGUAGGAUUUCUAGACUUAAACUUAGAAUGCUAAGUGAAGUUUUGAGAUGUGUGUCUGUUGUGAUUUAGACACGAGCACUAGUUUAUUUUAGGAAAGUUGCCUAAAAUGCUUUAUGUGCUAAAUGUUAUAUGUUGCCAUAUAUGAUAUUAUUUGUUCGGAUCUAUGGUCUGUUGCCGACCGGAUCUAGAAACCUUAUGUGUGUAGGAUUCUAAGCGUACGUCUACGAUAUUAGAACUAGCAUGUAAACGUUUCGGAGUGAUAAGGAUGAUUUGAAUAUCUAUCAUGAUUGAGGAUCUAAUUUCACCUUAUUCGGUGUAGAUCAAAAUGGUGAGAACAAGAAGUGGAGUUGGAAAUGCUGACGAAAACAGGAAUCAACCACCAGUGAUUGAGCCAAUACCUGUCGUAGCAGCAGCACCUGAGCCAAUAACCAUGGCUGGUGUGCAAUUGAUGAUUCAGACGAUGUUGGAUCGUCAGAUGGAUGAAACUAGACGGUUGCUUCAACAAAAUCGUGAAGAACUGUCGAUUCGUGUGGAAGAGCCUGAACUGAAUGAAGGGCACUCGGAAGGUGGAAACUUCAGUGGGUCUGUUGGUCCAGCCAACCCACCGAUAGUUAGGCAAGAUAACCAUGAUGGAAGGAAUGAUGGAAUGGGAUGCAAGUACAAGGACUUUUUGACUUGUAAACCAUCGACCUUCAAUGGAAAGGAGGAUCCGAUUGGGGUUAUGGAUUGGAUCUCCGAAAUGGAGUUAGCCUUUAUGACAUGUGGCUGUAGAGGCAAGUUGCAGACUAUCUAUGCCGUGCGACAAUUCCGAGGUGGAGCCGUUCGUUGGUGGAACACUCUAGGGAAGACCUUAAGCCCUAAUGAGCCACUGCAAUUGUCAUGGGCAGAGUUCUUGGUGCAGUUCAAGCGCAAGUUCUGCUCGGCUCAAAAUCUGUUGGAGUUGGAGAACAAGUUUUUGACAUUGACGAAGGGUAGCAUGUCAGUGGAUGAGUACACCAAUAACUUCACCGAUAAGAUGGAGUUUGCCUUGCGUAUCGUUCCAGACGAGCUGACAAAGGUGGAUCGGUAUGCGAAGGGACUUCCAUGGGAGUACGAGGUGCCGGUACGUCAGGCACUUACUCUAGAGGCAGCUAUCUGGGCUGCCAAGUCUGUGGAGAACAUGAUCAAGGGGAGAACCACCGUCAAGGUUGAGGUUGGUGAGAAAAGGAAGUUUGAAGGAACAUCUGGUUCCAGUAAGAAGAGCAAAUUUUCGAAAUCUGAUUCGAAAAAGUUUGGAGGAAAAGGAGGCGAAGCAAAGUGGUGUGAUAAGUGUAAGAAAAAGCACUUUGGGAAAUGUAGCGAGGAUGUGACCUGCUACAAGUGUGGAAAGGUUGGACAUUUUGCCAAUGAAUGUCCGAACAACAAAAGGAUGUGUUUUGGGUGUAAUGAAGAGGGGCAUAUUUUGAAAGACUGUCCGAAGAAGAAGGAGGCAGCUAGGCCCAACAUUCCACCAAAGCCGAAGGCGAGAGCCUUCCAGAUGACACUUGAGGCUGCGAAAGAUGAAGCUGAUGUCGCUUCAGGUACCUUUCUCGUAAACGAAUUACCUGCUCAUAUAUUGUUUGAUUCUGGAGCCAACUACUCCUUUAUUUCGCAUGAGUUUGGUAGAAAGCUAGCUUUGCCUGUUGAUAGACUAGAUAAUGCUUUAUUAGUCGAAGUAGCUAGUGGCAAGUUUGUACCUGUUAGCCAUCGUAUGAAAAACGUCUUGAUCGACCUUAAUGGGAAUAAGUUUCUCGAGGAAUUAUUGCCUAUCGAACUAAAUGGUUUCGACAUCGUCUUGGGAAUGGAUUGGCUUAGCGCCAAUGAUGCCGAAAUUUUGUGCAAGAAGAAGAUAGUUAAAGUAAACCCGCCUGGGAAAGAUUCGUUUAUGGUGUAUGGGGACAAACGCAGAGUGAAUUCUGGAAUCAUUUCUCUAAUGAAAGCCAGAAAGUGUUUGACCAAGGGAUGUACAUCAUAUUUAGCAUUCGUGAUUGAUGCUAAGAAAGAAAAGAAGGUGAUGCAGAGCAUUCCAGUGGUGUGUGAUUAUCCGGAAGUAUUUCCCGAGGAUCUUCCUGGAUUACCACCUGAUAGACAAGUGGAGUUCAGAAUAGACUUGUUACCAGGAACCACGCCAAUAGCAAAAGCACCUUAUCGAUUAGCACCGACGGAGAUGAAGGAGCUGAUGAUGCAACUUCAGGAGUUAUUGGACAAAGGUUUCAUUAGACCUAGUUCAUCGCCCUGGGGAGCUCCGGUGUUAUUUGUAAAGAAGAAAGAUGGAAGUAUGAGAAUGUGCAUCGAUUACAGAGAGCUGAACAAGGCAACAAUAAAGAAUAGAUAUCCGUUGCCGAGGAUUGAUGACCUGUUUGAUCAAUUGCAAGGUUCGAGCUAUUUCUCGAAGAUCGAUCUUAGGUCAGGAUAUCAUCAGCUGAAAGUAAGAGAGCAAGAUAUCGAGAAGACUGCAUUCAGAACUAGAUAUGGACACUACGAGUUCUUGGUUAUGUCGUUUGGACUAACCAAUGCUCCAGCAGCGUUCAUGGAUUUGAUGAAUAGGGUUUGUAAUCCUUUCCUUGAUAAAUCCGUGAUAGUGUUCAUAGACGACAUUCUGAUCUACUCGAAAAGCCAGGAGGAGCAUGGCAGACACUUGCGAGAAGUGUUAGAAGUUUUGAAGAAGGAGAAGCUUUAUGCGAAGUUCUCCAAAUGUGAUUUUUGGAUUCGUGAGGUCCAAUUCUUGGGUCACGUGGUCAACCAAGAAGGGAUAAUGGUUGAUCCAGCGAAGAUCGAAGCUGUGACGAAGUGGGAACAACCGAAAAGUCCCACGGAGAUUCGAAGCUUUUUAGGAUUAGCCGGAUAUUACCGAAGGUUUAUCCAAGGCUUUUCUUCGAUUGCUACUCCAUUAACAGCUUUGACCCACAAAGGAGCUACUUAUGCUUGGAGUGAGAAGCAUAAAGAAGCAUUCGAGAAGUUAAAGAAGAAGCUAUGCGAGGCACCGAUACUUUCUCUACCCGAUGGAGUUGAAGACUUCGCUGUUUAUAGCGAUGCGUCUGGUGUUGGAUUGGGUUGUGUUUUGACCCAAAGAGAAAAGGUGAUAGCAUAUGCGUCUCGACAGCUGAAAGAGCAUGAAAAGAAUUACCCGACUCAUGAUUUGGAGUUGGCAGCGGUAGUUUUCGCUCUGAAAAUAUGGAGGCAUUACCUCUAUGGCACGAAGUGCAAACUUUUCACUGAUCAUAAGAGUCUCCAAUACCUCUUUAAUCAGAAAGAAUUGAAUAUGAGGCAACGACGCUGGCUAGAAUUACUUAAAGACUACGACUGCGAGAUACUUUACCACCCCGGUAAAGCUAAUGUUGUUGCUGAUGCUCUCAGUCGGAAAGUCAAUCUUGAAAGGAAGAGGCCAAGAGCGUUGAGAAUUGAAGUUGUCUCGACUAUUGUGGAAAGUAUAAAGAAAGCUCAAGAGGAAGCUUCUGAGAAAAAUGACCGAAAGGAGGAACGUUUGGGUAAAACGUUGGUGUUUGGUACUAACGGUCAUGGACUGAAGGUAUUCCAAGAUCGUAUUUGGGUACCUAAGUCAGGAGGAAUUAGGGAUCUUCUGAUGGAAGAAGCUCACAAAACCAUGUACUCAAUUCAUCCGGGUAGCACUAAAAUGUAUAGGGACCUGAAACCCUACUACUGGUGGCCGACGAUGAAGCUUGAUGUUGCAAAGUAUGUGGCCGAGUGUGUGACUUGUGCGAGAGUCAAGACACAACAUCAGAAACCUUACGGGAGUUUAGAACCAUUGCCUGUGCCUAUGGGUAAGUGGGAAGACAUUGCUAUGGAUUUUGUCACUAAACUGCCCAGAACAAAGAAUGGUCACGACAUGAUUUGGGUGGUCGUUGAUCGAUUCACUAAGAGUGCGCAUUUCAUAGCGGCCAGGGAGAAAUGGUCUAUGGAAAAGCUUGCGAAUUCUUACGUGAAGGAAAUUGUGAGGCUUCACGGUGUUCCGUUAACGAUUGUAUCGGAUCGUGAUAGCCGUUUCACCUCAAGGUUUUGGAAAAGUCUACAAGAGGAAAUGGGUACCAAGUUAUGUUUAAGCACAGCUUACCAUCCGCAGACUGAUGGUCAGAGUGAAAGAACAAUACAAACACUUGAAGAUAUGCUGAGAGCAUGUACCUUGGAAUUCCUAGGUAAUUGGGAUGAACAUUUACCGUUGGUAGAAUUUUCCUAUAAUAAUAGUUUUCACUCGAGCAUUAAGAUGGCACCUUAUCAAGCUUUGUAUGGACAGAAGUGUCGUACGCCGUCUUGUUGGCUUGAGGCUGGGGAAAAGCAGUUUAUGGGACCGGAGAUGGUUCAUCAAACUGCUGAAAAGUUGAAAAUAAUUAGGGAAAGAAUGUUAGCAGCUCAAGAUCGUCAAAAGAGCUAUGCUGACAAGAAGCGAAGACCGAUGACUUUUGAGGUUGGAGAUUCGGUUUUGCUUAAAGUCUCGCCGUGGAAGGGACUUAUAAGAUUUGGUAAAAGGGGAAAGUUGAGUCCAAGGUUUAUUGGACCGUUUAAAGUCCUUCAGAGGAUUGGGAAUCAAGCUUACAAGCUCGAAUUACCCGAAGAACUGAAUGGAAUUCACAACACCUUUCAUGUGUGUUAUUUGAGGAAGUUCACGGGAGAAGUUCCCGAUAUAAUUCCAAUUUCUGAAUUGAGAAUUGAUGAGAACAAAAGGUUGAUUGAAGAACCAGAGGCAAUUGUUGACCGAAAGACUAAGAAGUUGCGACGCAAAAUGGUUGGGUUAGUGCUUGUCCGAUGGAAACACACGAAUGGGCCGAAUCUCACCUGGGAGACGGAGAGUGACAUGUUGAGUCGCUAUCCGCAUUUGUUUGUUGAUGUGUGAUUCCGGGGACGGAAUCAUUCUAAGGUGGAGAGAAUUGUAACGCCUGUGUUUCCGGGCUUGCCAUUUUUAGCAAUGUAAUAGUCUAGGUUAACCUUUGUAACCCGUUUUGAAAUAAUAAGAUUGUAUUAUUUGAGUAUUAUGUGUUUUGUGCUUAAUUGCUUAAUUAUGUGGUUUGAUUAAUUAAGAAUAAAAAUAAGCGUCAAAAUUUAAGUGUAAAAUAAACUUAAUAUCUUUGGUUAAUGUUGUAGUAGUUGAAACGAGGUUUCCGAAUAUAUAUAGAACGCCCAAAUCUGACUUCGUAUGAGGAAGUUAUGAUUUAUCGAAGUUCCGGCUUAGCGAUAUACAGCCUGUUUUACUCGAUUUGAGAUCGAGCGGUUGUUAGCCGAAGCAAUCUAAAUGAGAAUCGAAGAUCUCAUUGUUGGUAUUGAAACGAUAAAAAGUUAGGCGAGAACGGACGUCAAACGAAGAAGUUAUGAAUUUAUAACGAAAGUUUCUGUCCCGGCCUAUUAAAAAUAAUUAAUAAAAAUAAAGUCAAAAUUAGCCGACGGAGUCUAAACGAAAGUCGUAGAGCGUGGUCUCACCUUCGCGUGGAUAUAAAGAACGUCGAAAACGGAGUUCGUAUGAAGAAGUUAUGAAUUUCCGAAGUUUAUUAAUCAUUUUGUAUUUAUUUUUAAUUCAAAAU
rnacentral:lncRNA from 1 species